GAUGAACGCUGGCGGCGUGCCUAAUACAUGCAAGUCGAGCGAACGGACGAGAAGCUUGCUUCUCUGAUGUUAGCGGCGGACGGGUGAGUAACACGUGGAUAACCUACCUAUAAGACUGGGAUAACUUCGGGAAACCGGAGCUAAUACCGGAUAAUAUUUUGAACCGCAUGGUUCAAAAGUGAAAGACGGUCUUGCUGUCACUUAUAGAUGGAUCCGCGCUGCAUUAGCUGGUUGGUAAGGUAACGGCUUACCAAGGCAACGAUGCAUAGCCGACCUGAGAGGGUGAUCGGCCACACUGGAACUGAGACACGGUCCAGACUCCUACGGGAGGCAACAGUAGGGAAUCUUCCGCAAAGGGCGAAAGCCUGACGGAGCAACGCCGCGUGAGUGAUGAAGGUCUUCGGAUCGUAAAACUCUGUUAUUAGGGAAGAACAUAUGUGUAAGUAACUGUGCACAUCUUGACGGUACCUAAUCAGAAAGCCACGGCUAACUACGUG
rnacentral:rRNA from 1 species